UUUACUAUAUGAUGUUUGUUGUUUAUGAAUGGUUGUCUUUUCUUUUGAAGGUCAUGUUUAAGUUGAGAAGGAAACUGAAGCGGAUAAAGGCGAUGAUGAGACGCCGAAGAAGGAAACGAAGAAGAAAGGGAGGAAGGGAAAAGGAAAGUGCAACGAUAAGAAGAAUGAGAAGAAGAAAAGAGAUGAUGAUCCUGAGGACGAGGAUGAAGGUGGCAAAAAGAAGCGUAAGGUAAAUCCAUCGAGAUACCACAAGGCACCUUAUACCGCAGAGAGGAUGAGAGGGACCAAGGGUCCAGUUUACGUUUGGAGAAAAAUGUAUUGAAGACUUGUGUUUUUAUGGGAACGAUUUACUUAUGUAUUUCAGAUGUAUUGAAGACUUGUGUUUUUGUUAUUUAGGAUGAUUGAUCUUGUUUUUUGGGAUUUAUGGUACUUAUGUAUUUCACUAGAAUGAUGUUUGUUAUUUAGGAUGAUUGAUCUUGUUUUUUUUGGGAUUUAUGGUAUUUUUGGGAGUUCAAAACAAGUACAAAUGAGUUCAAAACAAGAGGUACACGUAGUUUAUAGUGAGGUACAAUUCAAUUACAAAAAGGUACAACUAACAAGUUAGAACAAGUACAAAUGAGUUCAAAACAAGAGGUACAAGUAGUUUAUAGAGAGGUACAACUCAAUUCCAAAAGAGGUACAAAUUACUUCAAAACAAGUCAAAAAAGUACAAAUGACUCUAGAAAUAGGAAUUCAACAUAGUUUCAAACUUUAACAUACUUGUUGCAACAUAAAAAGGAAAUACAAUCACAAAAUCAAUUCCCAUUUUACUUCUUUCCAAGUGCAUCCAUAACCUUGCGAUCUCUGCAUCUUUCUUGUCCAAGUGGUCUUUGAGGUCCUCAAUUUCAGCACGGAUUUGGUUAAUCUGGAGACGAUUACUAUCACCUCCAUAUUUGAAUGCGUUUUGAAUCAAUUUCCUGUGCUCGCCAAAUCGUUUGUCGAUGCAAAAGCACUGCUCGUGAACUGCAAGAUCCCAACACUUGUCUACGUGGUAAUUAUCAUCAUGACCACUCAUCGGACAUUUGAGAAAUGUCUUCUUUUGAUCGCCAAUAAGACACUCUAAAAGGUAAAGCUAUUUACCACAAAAACAGAUUGUGGGAACACCAAAAUCACCAUCGUACUUGCAAAGAUCAUCGGAUCGUUCCUCUGAUGAAGAAGGUGACGAAUAACUAAGCGGCAUUAUUUGCUACAUAGCCAAACACAUGAAAAUCAAAAGGAGAUAAAUUCCAAAAUCUAAACCCUAACAUCCAAACCCUAGAUCUUUAACAAAAUCCAAAAUCCAACCCCUAGAUAUCAAACUAUCAUAAAUGGCAACUCUAAUUCCUUUGCAAACCAUAAUUCAAUGAAAUUGGGGGAAAAUCAAAACCCUAAUUUCAUUUCAAUCCAACCCGAAACUUACCAGAGAACUUGGAUCCGGCGGCUGAUGUGAAAGAUUCGGUGGCCGGCGUCGGCGGAGGUUCGUCGUGUUGUUCGUCAGCACUGUUCUUCGAGAAUCGGCAGAGAAGAGAGAAUGAGAGAAGAUAACUUUUCGAGAGAAGAAAGGAGAAGAAGGAAAGAAAGAGAGAGAAAGAAAUGUAAUUUAAUGAGAAAGAUUCCUUUCUUUGAAUUGAAAUUUGAAAUACAUAGUGUGAACACAUAGUGUGAACACACAAGAGUUAUUAUGGUAAUAAAAGUGGAAUGCGGGCCCAGACAAAAGACUGCGCAUUAGCCAUAAUUGUGCCAUAAGUUAUUCAGUUGUCCGGUACUCAAGUUAUUUGUACUUUGUGGAAGUUUUAGUAUUUAGAGUUGGACUUCAUUAAGGGAAUUAACUUAUAGUUGGACAGAUGAUAUAAUAUGUUUAAUAAUAAGAUCUAAUGUUUUAGUUAUAUAAUUUGUACAAAUAUAUGCGUUUUGCCAUGUUUAUGUCAAGAUUGUCCAACAUGAUACAAUGCAUACCAUAUAAUGUAAGAAGUGUUUUCUGAAUUGAUGAGUAUAAUAUGUUCAAUUUUUUUUAGAUUGUAUGAUAAUUAGUAUAAGUGAUUAAUAUUCCAGAACAAUGUAUAGAGAUAUUUUCCAAGUAUGAUAACUUUUUCUUUAUGAUAUCUAAAAUAUAUUUUUAGAACCAAUUACAAAUUGAAAUAAUUAUGAGAAAAUUUAAAAAAUUACCUCUUUUUUAAUAAUAUCAUAUUAGAUUUUAAUAAAGAAAAUAAAUAAACUGUAUUUGUCUCAUAAAUAGUCAAAAUUAUUAAUUAAGAUUUUGAAUUUAGUUUAUGUAUUUUUUUCCUUCAAAAUUUUGAAUAAAUUUUAGUAUCGUAUUUAAUAUGAAUAUAUUAAA
rnacentral:sRNA from 1 species